UGUGGGAGCGGGCUUGCUCGCGAUUCAGGCGGUGCGGUCUCUCGAUGAACCGAGUCGAUGCAAUCGCGAGCAAGCCCGCUCCCACA
rnacentral:misc_RNA from 1 species